UACGUAGGGUGCUAGCGUUGCUCGGAAUCACUGGGCGUAAAGCGCACGUAGGCGGGUCUUUAAGUCAGGGGUGAAAUCCUGGAGCUCAACUCCAGAACUGCCUUUGAUACUGAGGAUCUCGAGUCCGGGAGAGGUGAGUGGAACUCCGAGUGUAGAGGUGAAAUUCGUAGAUAUUCGGAAGAACACCAGUGGCGAAGGCGGCUCACUGGCCCGGUACUGACGCUGAGGUGCGAAAGCGUGGGGAGCAAACAGG
rnacentral:rRNA from 1 species